rnacentral:rRNA from 1 species
AGUGAACGCUGGCGGUAGGCCUAACACAUGCAAGUCGAACGGCAGCACAGUAAGAUCUUGCUAUUACUGGUGGCGAGUGGCGGACGGUUGAGGAAUACAUCGGAAUCUACUUUUUCGGGGGGGAUAACGUAGGUAAACUUACGCUAAUACCGCAUACGGCCUACGUUUGAAAGCAGAGGAUCUUCGGACCUUUCGCGAUUGAAUGAGCCGAUGUCGGAUUAGCUAGUUGGCGGGGUAAAGGCCCACCAAGGCGACGAUCCGUAGCUGGUCUGAGAGGAUGAUCAGCACCACUGGAACUGAGACACGGUCAAGAAUACUACGGGAGGCAGCAGUGGGGAAUAUUGGACAAUGGGCGCAAGCCUGAUACAGCCAUCCCGCGUGGGUGAAGAAGGCCUUCGGGUUGUAAAGACCUUUUGUUGGGAAAGAAAAGCAGUAGGUUAAUACCCAGCUGUUCUGACGGUACCCAAAGAAUAAGCACCGGCUAACUUCGUG